rnacentral:sRNA from 1 species
GAAAUAGGAGAGUGAUCUUUCCUUUACUUCUUGUUUAAACUUUUGAGGGAAGAAAAGAAUUAUAUAUAUAGAUACUUCAUAUAGGUGAAUUUAAGAUACUUUAAAUAAAGAUUUCUCUACUAGUGAGGUUAAGACUUUAUAUAAAGGUACUCCACUGGUGAGUUGAAGAACUAUGUUUCAGCUACUCCAUUUGAAGUUCUGAAAACGUUUGCUGUUGUAAGAAAUAUUGCUAGCUGUUUAUGUCAAUAUAUUCUGUUAUAAUGAAACCCAGGUCAAUAUAUUCUAUUGCAGUGAUGCUUAACCUUAUUCGGCCAGCGUCGCGUCGCGGGAUCAACAAAAAGGAAAUAUAUACUGCAGCAUAUAUAUUUGAAUCCCGUGAAUCUAGUAAUUACAUUAAUUCAUAGGAACUUCAUACUGAAGUUGAACUAUCUUUUAAAUAUCCGACAGCAUAGAUGAGACGCCAAGUUGGAUCUUAAAUUUAGAAUUCUAGAUGUGUGUCCGUGAGAUGAUUACGUAAGGUGUGUUUCACACGAGUCAUCAACAACAAGGUUUGUCCUCACAAAUAGCUGCUUGUCAUUUGGAGAUUCAGAAAAGUUUCUGCAAGCAACUCGGAGUAGAAAUCAAUUCACUUGAAGUUUGUCAAGCAGGGAUAUCUAGCUUUGUCAAGCAGCGAUGUCUAACUUUGUCAAGCAGAAAUGUCUAGCUUUGUCAAGCAUGAAUGUCUAACUUUGUCAAUCAGUUCCAGUUACAGCUCAAUCUUGGCACCUGACGCAUUGCCUGCAUAUGAAUUUUAAAAACGACGCUGAACACGAUCAUCAUCCCAUGGUCCAGACUGAACAACAUGCCACAUAGUUUUUGUUGGUGAAUAACUUGCUGUCAGCCAUACUUGUGGAACCAUCGUUAGUCACUCCCACUAAUUUGUCCCAAAGAAUAGAAAGAUCGUCUGUGAUGAUUGAAACUUUUCACAGUACUUCGCCAGUAGUGUCCCAUGAAUGCUUCUCAUAGCAACUGACUUCUCCGAUUUCAAAACUGCUGUUUGUACCGCGAAUAAAUACCAACAGUUUGAAUGGUUUCAGAUAUGUCGGUAAACUCUUCAGCUGUAAUAGAAAACAUUUUGAAAUCUGGUUUGUCUGUUAGUUGUGAAUGGAGAUAUUUACCCACUCGCCUUGUAAUUGGUAUGAGAAAGGUUGACAGCUUCAAAAGCGUUCUUCUUUUCACAAUACAUUCUUUUGCAUUCGCCCUCGGACAAUAGCUUCCUGUCUCUACUUACAAUGUGAACAACCCUGGAGCUAGCCUUACAGCCGACUCAUUUUUUUCUCUUUUUGGUAACUAGUGUCCACUCUAGGUUUAAUCUAGCACUCGAGUCUCAAACCAAGCCAAGAAUGCCGCCUUAUUUAUUUAUGUGUUUGGUUUAAUAAAAGUUGUUGAGUGUUAUGUUCUCUAAAAAGAGCCACUUUCUCAUUAUAAAACAAAUAUGUUGGCUUAUUUAUUCGGUUCAAGUCCAUUUACCCUAACUUAGGGAUUUUUGUUUUAUUUCCUUUAUUUAUUUAUUUUUUUCUAUUUUUUUUUAUUGGAGAGGGAAUUUUCUACACUUUGUGCUGACGUCUCGGCGGGCUGGAUAGAACCAUCUCGCGGACCGUAUUUUGGACAUCACUGUUCUAUUGUAAUGAAACCUCUCUAUCAAGAUCAAUAUAUUUUAUUGUAAUGAUACCCCACUGUUGAGGUUAGAAAUCUAAGCUGGUGAUUUCAUGAUAUUCCAAUGUUGAGACUAAGACAUUCCUUUAUAUAAAAAAAGAAAGGGGGGGGAUAAAAUACAAUGUGUAAUAGAAUUAUAACGCAUAAUACAUGGCUGUGAGUGGUUGAUUUGAGUUUUGCUGUAUUUGUUUAAAUUUUAUAAGACAGCUACUUCCACGCUCAUAUGCAUACAAAAGAAAAACACACACACACACGCCAGGCAAAUAAAGAGGCAAGAGAGGGUCUGUGACAAAUCGCCCAAUCCACCAGCUGAGACCUGCCCAAGUGCCUCAUCCAUUAAGACAACACCAUGACUCAUGACUGCCUCGCAGAAACUGGCCUUGAGAUAGUGGACUUGGGAUAGUGGACAAACUACUGGCCUAGGGAUAGAGAGAACAGACUACUGACCUGGGGAAUGGGGGAGCACAGACUACUGGCUACAUAGUCCUACAUUCGGGUGACCUAAAUCUAAAUGUUUAUGGUACUGAUAAGCUAUCGAGUCAUUCAGGCAAAGCGAGACAACUAACGGGCUACACAGAGUUACCCUACUUUGGUUGACUGAGUUCUUGGUAUUGCGGCCACCGCGUGUGUACAUUGUUGUCAUUGUCCACGCAUGGCGUGUUAUCUAUUAAAAUUGUGUCCUUUUUAUUUAGCAGACGAUAAGUUAAAGUGUGUUGAUCUUCGUCCUGUACGGGUGUAGUAAGUAAUUGAUGCAUUCAAUGUCAUGUAAUAAAGGAAUAGAAUUCCUGUGUUGAAUCAUUCUCUGAUCGAUACUGGAACACUUUAAGUUUCCAUAAAUAUGAUACUGGAAUUUCUGAUGAGACAAUAUAUCAUAUCACAUACGCUAGUUUCUAGAGCCAGGAUAAGUUUGACUUUCAUCUGUUUUAGGACAAGGCUUCAAUUACAAGUUUGCUUUUAGCAGAUCUUCAAUAAGUUCUAAGCGAUAUCACAGUCUCAUCUCAACCAUGUCAAAUAACUCAUUAACAGUCAGCAAGAAACAAGAGAUUUGUAAG